rnacentral:rRNA from 1 species
GCGAGCGAACGGGGAGGAGCCCAGAGCCUGAAUCAGUGUGUGUGUUAGUGGAAGCGUCUGGAAAGGCGUGCGAUACAGGGUGACAGCCCCGUACACAAAAAUGCACAUAUUGUGAGCUCGAUGAGUAGGGCGGGACACGUGGUAUCCUGUCUGAAUAUGGGGGGACCAUCCUCCAAGGCUAAAUACUCCUGACUGACCGAUAGUGAACCAGUACCGUGAGGGAAAGGCGAAAAGAACCCCGGCGAGGGGAGUGAAAAAGAACCUGAAACCGUGUACGUACAAGCAGUGGGAGCCUCUUUAUGGGGUGACUGCGUACCUUUUGUAUAAUGGGUCAGCGACUUAUAUUCUGUAGCAAGGUUAACCGAAUAGGGGAGCCGAAGGGAAACCGAGUCUUAACUGGGCGUUAAGUUGCAGGGUAUAGACCCGAAACCCGGUGAUCUAGCCAUGGGCAGGUUGAAGGUUGGGUAACACUAACUGGAGGACCGAACCGACUAAUGUUGAAAAAUUAGCGGAUGACUUGUGGCUGGGGGUGAAAGGCCAAUCAAACCGGGAGAUAGCUGGUUCUCCCCGAAAGCUAUUUAGGUAGCGCCUCGUGAAUUCAUCUCCGGGGGUAGAGCACUGUUUCGGCAAGGGGGUCAUCCCGACUUACCAACCCGAUGCAAACUGCGAAUACCGGAGAAUGUUAUCACGGGAGACACACGGCGGGUGCUAACGUCCGUCGUGAAGAGGGAAACAACCCAGACCGCCAGCUAAGGUCCCAAAGUCAUGGUUAAGUGGGAAACGAUGUGGGAAGGCCCAGACAGCCAGGAUGUUGGCUUAGAAGCAGCCAUCAUUUAAAGAAAGCGUAAUAGCUCACUGGUCGAGUCGGCCUGCGCGGAAGAUGUAACGGGGCUAAACCAUGCACCGAAGCUGCGGCAGCGACACUAUGUGUUGUUGGGUAGGGGAGCGUUCUGUAAGCCUGUGAAGGUGGCCUGUGAGGGUUGCUGGAGGUAUCAGAAGUGCGAAUGCUGACAUAAGUAACGAUAAAGCGGGUGAAAAGCCCGCUCGCCGGAAGACCAAGGGUUCCUGUCCAACGUUAAUCGGGGCAGGGUGAGUCGACCCCUAAGGCGAGGCCGAAAGGCGUAGUCGAUGGGAAACAGGUUAAUAUUCCUGUACUUGGUGUUACUGCGAAGGGGGGACGGAGAAGGCUAUGUUGGCCGGGCGACGGUUGUCCCGGUUUAAGCGUGUAGGCUGGUUUUCCAGGCAAAUCCGGAAAACCAAGGCUGAGGCGUGAUGACGAGGCACUACGGUGCUGAAGCGACAAAUGCCCUGCUUCCAGGAAAAGCCUCUAAGCAUCAGGUAACAUCAAAUCGUACCCCAAACCGACACAGGUGGUCAGGUAGAGAAUACCAAGGCGCUUGAGAGAACUCGGGUGAAGGAACUAGGCAAAAUGGUGCCGUAACUUCGGGAGAAGGCACGCUGAUAUGUAGGUGAAGCGACUUGCUCGUGGAGCUGAAAUCAGUCGAAGAUACCAGCUGGCUGCAACUGUUUAUUAAAAACACAGCACUGUGCAAACACGAAAGUGGACGUAUACGGUGUGACGCCUGCCCGGUGCCGGAAGGUUAAUUGAUGGGGUUAGCGGUAACGCGAAGCUCUUGAUCGAAGCCCCGGUAAACGGCGGCCGUAACUAUAACGGUCCUAAGGUAGCGAAAUUCCUUGUCGGGUAAGUUCCGACCUGCACGAAUGGCGUAAUGAUGGCCAGGCUGUCUCCACCCGAGACUCAGUGAAAUUGAACUCGCUGUGAAGAUGCAGUGUACCCGCGGCAAGACGGAAAGACCCCGUGAACCUUUACUAUAGCUUGACACUGAACAUUGAGCCUUGAUGUGUAGGAUAGGUGGGAGGCUUUGAAGUGUGGACGCCAGUCUGCAUGGAGCCGACCUUGAAAUACCACCCUUUAAUGUUUGAUGUUCUAACGUUGGCCCGUAAUCCGGGUUGCGGACAGUGUCUGGUGGGUAGUUUGACUGGGGCGGUCUCCUCCUAAAGAGUAACGGAGGAGCACGAAGGUUGGCUAAUCCUGGUCGGACAUCAGGAGGUUAGUGCAAUGGCAUAAGCCAGCUUGACUGCGAGCGUGACGGCGCGAGCAGGUGCGAAAGCAGGUCAUAGUGAUCCGGUGGUUCUGAAUGGAAGGGCCAUCGCUCAACGGAUAAAAGGUACUCCGGGGAUAACAGGCUGAUACCGCCCAAGAGUUCAUAUCGACGGCGGUGUUUGGCACCUCGAUGUCGGCUCAUCACAUCCUGGGGCUGAAGUAGGUCCCAAGGGUAUGGCUGUUCGCCAUUUAAAGUGGUACGCGAGCUGGGUUUAGAACGUCGUGAGACAGUUCGGUCCCUAUCUGCCGUGGGCGCUGGAGAACUGAGGGGGGCUGCUCCUAGUACGAGAGGACCGGAGUGGACGCAUCACUGGUGUUCGGGUUGUCAUGCCAAUGGCACUGCCCGGUAGCUAAAUGCGGAAGAGAUAAGUGCUGAAAGCAUCUAAGCACGAAACUUGC